rnacentral:rRNA from 1 species
CGGGGUGCAGCAGUAAGGAAUAUUGGUCAAUGGGCGCAAGCCUGAACCAGCCAUGCCGCGUGAAGGAUGACGGCCCUAUGGGUUGUAAACUUCUUUUGUACGGGAAAAAACCACCGGUCGUGUAUCGGUGCUGAUGGUACCGUAAGAAUAAGCAUCGGCUAACUCCGUGCCAGCAGCCGCGGUAAUACGGAGGAUGCAAGCGUUAUCCGGAUUCAUUGGGUUUAAAGGGUGCGCAGGCGGAGUGAUAAGUCAGUGGUGAAAGCCUACAGCUUAACUGUAGAACUGCCAUUGAUACUGUCAUUCUUGAGUAUUGUUGAGGUAGGCGGAAUGUGUCAUGUAGCGGUGAAAUGCUUAGAUAUGACACAGAACACCGAUCGCGAAGGCAGCUUACCAAGCAAUAACUGACGCUCAUGCACGAAAGCGUGGGGAUCAAACAGGAUUAGAUACCCCAGU